CGGUUAUACCAAGUGAUUAAGUUAUAUUUCUAGGUAAAAAGACAGUUAGGUUUAAAAUAAGGGUAAUUAGUUUAUUAAACAUCUAUAAAAAAGUAAAAUUUGCAUAUAGAUAGCUAAUCCAAAAAUAACUACUGUAUAUUGAAGCUGUGAUAGUCUUGAGGGAAACUGGGAUUAGAUACCCCAUUAUUCUUGAUUGUAAAUAUAAUUAAAUUUACCAGAGUACUAUGAAUAGUUAAAAAUUUAAAACUCAAAGGGCUUGGCGGUGUUUUAGACCUAUCAGGGGAACCUGUCUYGUAAUCGACAAUCCACGUAACAUCUAACCUUAUUUUGUAAUCAGUUUGUAUACCGUUGUCGCCAGGUAACUUUUAAAAAUAUACAAGUUAGCAGUUAAAACUAUUAUUAGUUAAAACGUCAGAUCAAGGUGCAGCCUAUAUUAAGGAGAGGAUGGGUUACAAUUAUCAAAAUUAUAAUUACGGAAAUUUAAAUGGAACUUAUUUUGAAGGAGGACUUGAAAGUAAACUAAAUGAUAUUUAUAGUUUGAAUAAGGCUCUG
rnacentral:rRNA from 1 species